ensembl:lncRNA
AGCAAAAUGCUACUUCAGAGCUAGCUGUUAUUGUUCAUGAUACUCUGCAUAGUUAUCUCAUAGAAGAGCUGAGAUCAAAACAUACAGCAAUAGCUGGACUGUUUUAUGCUGUUGUACUAAAGAGGAUCCAGAGCAAGGAUGACUUUUGUUGGAUGCCUGCUCCCCUCAGGUCUUCUUUCCUGACCUCACCUCUUCCAUUUGUUAUCAUGUGACAUGGACCUCAAGAAGGGUCGUGUCCAGGACACAGACUGCAAAAUGAGGUUUAUAAAGCUGUUGCUAAUCAUCACAGGACAGCCGGAAUACAAUGUGAAGUAAUCUUUAUGCAUUAUGCCCACCUCAUCAAGUCAUUUACAGAAUAUUGAUGUAAUUAUCGAUAGAACAGAGACAAAAACAGAGACAUUGUUUUAAAGUUUUAUUGAUCAUUUCCAUACAAAUAUUUUCCCCACCCAGACAUUGUCCUUUUAUGGAAGCCAUUUUAAAGUUGAAGUGUUAUUAAAUAUACUUUCAGCCCCACAAAGCUUAUUUUAAAAAAGCAAGACACCGCAGGGAAUUGAACCCCGUCCCGACAGAGUCAGGAGUGCCAUCACCGGAGUCUUUUGCUUUUUGUUUUUGCUAGUUAGGGCAAAAGCAAAACCUGGAAGAACAUUUGGAAGAACAAAUGUUCUUCCAGGAAAAGAAAACCCGACACCUGGAUGCUAAUUAUGCUGUCACCACGGGGAUUCUCUUGGUCACGAGGCUGAAACUAGAACAGAGAGACGUCUGGUUUCCCCAAUCCCCAAAAUUCCCCACAGCGACACUGUAUUGGUGUAUUAUUCCACGAAAUCCGUUUAGCCAUAAUAAAACCACGAUACCAGAAUCCCUUGUCAAAGCGAUUUUCCCCUCUGCAAUUCAGCACGAGUCGCGGGUCAACUGACAGUGAAGGCUUUCUUGCCAAUUUUAUGGCUGCAAUGGGAAAAAAGACAGACAAUUUAAGCCCCCCCCCCCCACCCAAACCCCACACUUGUACCAAGACUCAUCCAAUAUGAUGGGAGAUUGAAUUUAUCAACAUUGUUGUAGUUUACCACAGCUGAUGCAGCAUUUACCACAGCUAUUCUUCCUCUGAUGCUCAGCUCUUCAAUGUAUUAAAUGAACCCUAGAGGCUGGCAGUACCAAGUGAUCCAAUGACUCCCUGCAGACCUUUAAGUUCUCUGGUUCAGUAGCAAGUUAAGCUGAAUGAGAAAUCUGAAAAAGGGAGAAAGAAGAGUGUUUGCCCCCCCCCCAGACCCUCCUAACCAUAAUACUACUGCAAUGUUUGACAACGACUUUAUGAACAUUGUUUUACAAAUAAAAUGUUAUGCAUAGCUGAUGUGCAUGCAACAUGUUGAGUUACACAUUAAAGCCAUGGUAUGUUAAAGAAAAAUCAAGGGAACCGAAAUUACUUAACUUAGCACCCACGAGACUGAAGUGAUGCAGUAUUAGCGAAAACAAGCUUGCAGCUCUUGAUCUUAAUGUGACUGGAUUCUCAGUGUUCCAUCACAGGUUAGGCCAUCCCAGAUGAAAAAUUAAGAAUUUGGGGUAAUUUGACCUGAGAAACCAAAGGGAAAGAAAAAGGCACACAAACACAGAGAGCGGGGGCUUCUGCGAAGGACGUCAGGGGUUCAGAUUUAAGCUCAAGCGCACAGGGGAUUGGUACUUCAUUCAGGGGCCACACUCAUAUCGCUGACAGCUUCCACAGAUGGCUUUGCAUUCAGAGGCAGGCGAGAUCGGAGUGGACAGACGAGAAUGAUCUGAAACAAAGAGUGAUCUACACAACACACCCACCACACAAUACUCAAAAGAUUUGGGUUCUACUCAUCUUAUGGUUGUAAGAUGCAAAGCAAUAGGGCCCCAAGGCCAAAGAGGAAUAAGCUAGUAAAGCAUUGUUACUGAUGAUUUGAGGUUAACAUAAAGCCAGUUCCAAGAUGUCAUUUUGUCAACUACAACAUUGCAGAAGUUUUGACAAGUAAAGCCAACAGCUUACUACAUGCUCCGGGUUAGGACUUGACUCGUGCUUGAACCAGUCUUGCACUGUGAGUUCUGUGAAGAGAAGUGUAGGGAUACGCCCAACCACAACACAAUAGAAACUAAGGCAGCACAUUUGCGCUGCAUUUCAGACCAAAUUAAGCCGCACCAUGCGCAGCUUUCCUCAGCUGCUUAAAUUUUGAAACUUCGCACAGUUGCGCGAUUGCUAAGGUGACCAACCUGCCACUUGCACAGUUGCACAAGGGCAAGCAGCUGAGGGCUAAAUGCUCUAAUAUAUGUAAACAUCAAAAACCUGACUCCUUUUGUUCAAACUGCAUGUUGGUGGAGUUCAAAGCGCAGCGUGAUUCUUGUGUUCUCCUAGGUACACUGCUUUCUUCCUUUGGAUUGUUCUGUAAGAGCAAAGAGGCAGAAAAGAAACACCCCUAUACCCCUCCCCACAGUAUCGUAGAACUGACUAUUGUUAUCCUUACCCAAAUGCUUUACUGCAGAUAAUGUCAGAAUCAAUGAAGGUCCAUCAAAUCUUCCCGUUAUCACAAGUGACUUGUUAAGAAAGCACAGGAGUGCUAUUUCUACUGUCAAGUAUAGCAAGUUGCUUUCAUUUCAAGAAUGAGGACACGCAAGUCCAGUCAAGAUAAGUGACCCCUAUAGGGCUGAGAAUUUUCUGUUUUUCGACAUCAAUAUUUGAUGGAUUCAACUUAUCUGCCUUCACUUUCCACUUUGAAAUAGAAGUCAUUCGAGCCCAGGUCACAUCCGUGCUCUACAAAGCUCCAAGCUUUAGUCAUACCUGAAAAAGCACAAGAAAAGCUCCCCCACACAAGCCCCCCCAAAAAGAACAAAUGCAUACCAAAACUGUAUUCAAUCACAACAAGCUAUGCAUUUAUUAUGCAGUAAGAAAAUCCUUUACAGAUAGUUCACUCAUUGUAUUGGCGAUACAAAGCAAAGUAACUAAUUGCAAAGGAAUUGCAAUGAAGGCAAUUAGCCAAAUAAUGAAUGUUAAAGUAAAUGAUCACAUUUAGCCACCUUACGUGAUGCUCGAUGCGCAAGGAAACUUGUACAUACAAUGAGUUAGGAGUUCCUGAUGGUCUUGGGUAUUGAAAGCACACAGGACACAGCACACUGAAAAAAUGCAAAGAAAAGCCUCUCCCCACAACACCCCUGCCCUAAUACAAUAUGGUAGAAAACUACAACACUGGCAUUAAAGUAACAUUGUAGAAAACUACAAGACACUACUGGGAUUACAGCAACUGCUUUAACAAGCCCAACUUUAAGACUACAAAUACAAUUCACAAAAGAUUGAAGCCAUUUGCCAUAAGAAACAUUUAAAAUACCACAGAAUUACAAUGACUUCUAGUAAGGAGAAGUAUUACCGCACUCUCCCUGGGGGAAAGGAGCUUCACUACAUCAGAAGACUACUUUUGAGGUUGCUAUCUUGCGUUGUUAAGUGUCCAGUUGAAUCUUGUUGCUUGCGCCUGGAUGUUUCCUAUUCAAGCCAUGUGCACUGGGCAAUGUGGAGCUGUGAAGUCUAGGAAGAGACGGAUUAACGCCCCACAACCCACCCCUCCCAAAAAAAUAAAUUCAUGGAAGCCCAUUUACAACAUAUUCCAAAUAAAAGUGAGAGGAAAACUAAUUGAGUCAGUGAACACCAAAUACCUUUCUAUAUCUCGUUUAAGCACAGUGGAUGCGCAUGAUCUCGAUCCAUAUCACUACUGUAUAUAGGAUGAGCUCAACUUGUACCAAGCAGCUAGAAAGGGGGGGGGGGGAUUCUGUCGAUGAUCGCGUUAGGGGGCCAGGCCUGUAAAAAGAAAGACUCCAAACAAGUUUUAACAACCCCCCCAUCCCACCCCUCCCCUUAAGCCAAAAAUAUUUACCCACCAGGAUCAACUACCAUUUCAAUGCAAAUUCCCUUUUGAGUGAAGUCAUUACUGUAUACUUAUGAAAUGUAAUGAUGAGUUAAUGUACAGGAUAGUUACACCCACAUGUACAUUCCAUGCAUUAACUCACAGCUUGGGUUUAAGAGGUAGAUGUAGCUGAUCUGUACCAAAGAGGCGCAGCUGAAGUACCGAAGAGUUGCCGAAUACACAAUUGGCCGUAUGGGAGACCAUCCACUUUCACACUCCAAUGCAGAAAACUUCUCUGGGGGAAGACCUAUCGAACAACAAAAGGACUGCCUCUCCCUCCGCUUGUGGAAACUACUUGUGAUCGCAGGGGGGUAGAGAAGUCCAUUAAGACGCUCCUCGUCAGCACACUACCAAGGCAUUCAUCACAGCAGACACCACCACACAUUUCAGCGCACAACAGGAGGGGUGACCACGGUACAAAACACUUUACACGGCUUGCCUGAAAAGAGGAAGAGAGAGCUGUGCGAGAAGUUGUUCGACAACAGAUGUUUCUGGAAAGUACAAAAACCAAAUACUGAGUGUUACAGAAAUACCUCUACCCAGUAUACAAACCAAAGCCCCGCUUUAAACUUGUGACGCUAGAAGUCUGCACGCCCUUGUCCCACCCUCUCAGCACUGGAUCGGCAUCGGGGCUGGUCACUGCGCUUCUACACUGCCCUGCGUUUCUGGCUCCCUCUGGCGUACACACUGGCCGACAGCUCCUGAUGCUUCCUGCUCUCUUGGCCCCCUCUGCUCCUCCCCUCCACGCCCCUCUGGUCCUGUCCUGCCUGGCUCCACACUGGUCCUCCCACGCCCUCUGGUCCUGUCCUGCCUGGCUGGCUCCUCUGUGGUCCUCCCCGUGUCCCGCGACCUCGCUCCAAGCCGUCCUUCGAUCUUCAUCUAAUAACUAAGUCCAUUCCUCCCCGUGAUAACUCAGUCCAUCUCCCCCCCCAAAAAAAAGUCUUCUGUCUUCCCUAAGUGAUGAACCUUUUUUUUUUUUUUUUUUAAUUUCUUCUCAAGGUCCAUAAAUCUGAACUUGAUAUUGCUUGAGCUACUACUAGAGCUCUAAGAUAAGCUUCCAUUCUUCAGCAUUACUUGACUUAUGCUAUCUUCUUUCUUUGAAUGCAGAAUUGAUAGCUUGAAACUUCAAGUCUAAUGACUGAUGGAAACUGAGCGAAAAUGUCGAUUAAAAAAAAUUAAAUAAAAAACUUCGCAUUGCAAAAUGCUUCCCCGAUCAAUGGGAUAAGAGUGAAAAGACAGAGGUAAGGACCUCAUCCAAGUAACAGCUAUCAAACAAAAAUAAAAACGUCUUCAUUGCUUCUUUGACGCUGUUGUUACUUAAUCUGUUCCUGAUGCUUUUUUUUUUUUUUAAAUAAACACAGGCUGGUCUAGUCUAUCGUAGUUCGAUAGCACCUCCGAGCUUACAUAAACCCUCCGUUUUAAAUACAAUUACUAGCACUUCUCAUAAUCUGCGUCUGAUCACGACAAGACAUCCUUAUUUUCUUUCUUCGGAAUAAAAACGAAUUUUCGAAUAUUUAACAGACUCCGUCAACUGUAGUUACAUUGUGAUCUAAUCUUAGAGACCACAUUGCAAAGUCAGUACUCUUUAGGAACCUAAUUAGGCACUUAACUUCACUGCCUUAUUAAUUUCAAAAGUAUGAAAAAUGUUCCUCUGCCAUUUUGUUGCUAAAAGCUUUCUACACCUUCUCGAAAAGCACUACGUGAAGGCUGAUAAUGGCCGUCAGUCUGACCACUCCCUUUUCCACUGCCGUCUACUUACGUCAUGACGUUAAUUGAAUUAGCCAAUAGACGACGUUUACACGUUUCUACGUUACAGCUCCCAUCUCGAGCCAACUGCUGUUAGUAUGACCAAAAAUGGUUACUUGGAAUAUAUUUUUAAAAAGCAAGAUAACCGCUAGACAAACGCUAAACAUGACAGCUAAAAAAAAAAUAACUGUUGCGGAAUAACUGACAAUGCUAGCACAAAUUUAUACAUUUGGCUGGCUAAGCCUAGCGUUAGCUCAACAGCCCUCGGCAAAAAAACAAGAAUCAGGCCUUUGAUCUGACUAAGUAGAAUUUGUGUUUAUCUUCUACAAUCUUAAUCAUUUGCAAUAAAGCAGUACUAAAAAGCGUUUAACAAACCGAAAACACGUUACAUCUAGAGAUUUAAAGUACUUGCAUUAAAAUAAUGAUCAAUAAUGCUCAAGACGCUAAAAUUAAACUUGUCGCAAACAUUAGACUAGAUAGAGCAAGGCUAUACAGCUUCGAAAAUAAAACCCGAACUUAAAAAGAUCAAAAAAGGAAAAAACAAGAUACGGUCAACCUGCAACGCCCAACCACAAGACGGAAAAGCAUCAGC